rnacentral:rRNA from 1 species
GAUGAACGCUGGCGGCGUGCCUAAUACAUGCAAGUCGAGCGAACAGACGAGGAGCUUGCUCCUUCGACGUUAGCGGCGGACGGGUGAGUAACACGUAGGUAACCUACCUAUAAGACUGGGAUAACUUCGGGAAACCGGAGCUAAUACCGGAUAAUAUUUCGAACCGCAUGGUUCGAUAGUGAAAGAUGGCUUUGCUAUCACUUAUAGAUGGACCUGCGCCGUAUUAGCUAGUUGGUAAGGUAACGGCUUACCAAGGCAACGAUACGUAGCCGACCUGAGUGGGUGAUCGGCCACACGGGAACGGAGACACGGUCCAGACUCCUACGGGAGGCAGCAGUAGGGAAUGUGCCGCAAUGGGCGAAAGCCUGACGGAGCGACGCCGCGUGAGUGAUGAAGGUCUUCGGAUCGUAAAACUCUGUUAUUAGGGAAGAACAAACGUGUAAGUAACUGUGCACGUCUUGACGGUACCUAAUCAGAAAGCCACGGCUAACUACGUG